UACGGGGGGGGCAAGCGUUGUUCGGAAUUACUGGGCGUAAAGGGUUUGUAGGUGGCCAACUCAGUCAGACGUGAAAUCCCUCAGCUUAACUGGGGAACUGCGUCUGAUACUGGUUGGCUUGAGUGCAGGAGAGGAACGCGGAAUUCCAGGUGUAGCGGUGAAAUGCGUAGAUAUCUGGAGGAACACCGGUGGCGAAGGCGGCGUUCUGGACUGCAACUGACACUGAGAAACGAAAGCCAGGGUAGCAAACGGG
rnacentral:rRNA from 1 species